rnacentral:rRNA from 1 species
GGAGGAUGCGAGCGNNAUCCGGAUNUANNGGGUNUAAAGGGAGCGCAGACGGGUCGUUAAGUCAGCNGUGAAAGNNUGGGGCUCAACCUNAAAANNGCAGUNGAUACUGGCGNCCUNGAGUGCGGUNGAGGUGUGCGGAAUUCGUGGUGUAGCGGUGAAAUGCUUAGAUAUCACGAAGAACUCCGAUUGCGAAGGCAGCUCACUGGAGCGCAACUGACGCUGAAGCUCGAAAGUGCGGGUAUCGAACAGGAUUAGAUACCCUGGUAGUCCGCACGGUAAACGAUGGAUGCCCGCUGUUGGUCUGAACAGGUCAGCGGCCAAGCGAAAGCAUUAAGCAUCCCACCUGGGGAGU